AUUGAACGCUGGCGGCAUGCCGUACACAUGCAAGUCGAACGGUAACAGGCCGCAAGGUGCUGACGAGUGGCGAACGGGUGAGUAAUGCAUCGGAACGUGCCCAGUCGUGGGGGAUAACUGCUCGAAAGAGCAGCUAAUACCGCAUACGACCUGAGGGUGAAAGCGGGGGACCGUAAGGCCUCGCGCGAUUGGAGCGGCCGAGGUCAGAUUAGCUAGUUGGUGGGGGAAAGGCCUACCAAGGCAACGAUCUGUAGUUGGUCUGAGAGGACGACCAGCCACACUGGGACUGAGACACGGCCCAGACUCCUACGGGAGGCAGCAGUGGGGAAUUUUGGACAAUGGGCGCAAGCCUGAUCCAGCAAUGCCGCGUGCAGGAAGAAGGCCUUCGGGUUGUAAACUGCUUUUGUCAGGGAAGAAAUCUUCUGGGCUAAUACCCCGGGAGGAUGACGGUACCUGAAGAAUAAGCACCGGCUAACUACGUGCCAGCAGCCGCCGUAACAC
rnacentral:rRNA from 1 species